GGGGCCAUCGCCCCCUACGCUCAGCCCCUUAGCCCUGCCUGGCGGGGAGCGGGCAACCCCAUCAUGGACGGCUCGGAUCGGGGUCCGCUGACGGGUUUGGGUGGAGGGGGUGGGGAGCAAGGGCAGAAGGCGCAGCUGGUUUCCCCCCGUGCGCGGAGCUUCACGGGCGCAUCAUCCCAGCGGCCAGGCGUUGGAGUCGGGCGGGGGUUGGGGUCUGGGCACCUGGGCUUAAACCAGGCCUUCGAGGGAGCCUCGCAGCAGCCCAGCCGCUGCGAAAGGGGCGGGUAGCAUCAACUCCAGCUGGGAGGCGAGUUUGGCGCAUCUCCGGUCAAAGCGCAGCCAAGGAGCAGCGCGCCUGAGCGCUGGCGAAACACUGCCAGGCGCCUCUCGGAGGGAGCGCGGCGCAUCCAGGCGGGGAUCGGAAGCGCGGCCAGAUCCGGGAGGCAGCCGCUGGAGGAGGAUGCGCUCAGGCUUUCAAGGAGAGGAUCUAUUACUGAGAGGGCUCUCCUCUCUCUGCCACAGCGUCUGUCGGCCGCCCAGGCUGAGAUCCCGGGUGAUCGUUGCAGCUGAUGGAGGAAAGAAGGGAAGCCAGUCCCACCCCGGUCUGCUGGAGCUUUGUGCGCAGCAGAAGAAGCAACAAACGAGUCCUGAGCCGGCAACUCUUCCCAAGCCACCUCGGGUCGCAGAUGCUGCCGCGCGCGGUGUUGCUUUUCCGCCGCUCCUCGCUCGGAUUUUGCGCGCUCCUUAGCUGUCCAGCAGCAGCGCCCACCUCGCGCGGACGGCAACCAGAUACAGUGGUACCUCAGGUUACAUACGCUUCAGGUUACAUACGCUUCAGGUUACAGACUCUGCUAGCCCAGAAAUAGUACUUCGGGUUAAGAACUUUGCUUCAGGAUGAGAACGGAAAUUGUGCAACAGUAGCUCAGCGGCAGCAGGAAGCCCCAUUAGCUAAAGUGGUGCUUCAGGUUAAGAACAAUUUCAGGUUAAGAACGGACCUCCGGAACAAAUUAAGUUCUUAACCCGAGGUACCACUGUACAAAGACAGGGAGAGAUUCUUUACUAUCAACAGUUGCUUGGGAAAGGGGAUUUUUCUGCUCUCUCCAAUAACCAUCAAGUUAAGUGGGUAGGUGGGAAAUAAAACUAGCAAGAAAGAAGAAGGGUGAGUAGGAGCUCCUGAACAAAUUGUCCCAUGAAUAUCUGACAGCAGACUAACUGCUUUCUACAUGGGUGCUGUAACUAUGAAGCUAACUGUUAAUCAAAGCUGUAGAAUUUUAUACAACUGACUGUAAUCCACUAACUAAGAGCCAUUAUUUGCUUUGUCCCAACUUCCAACUAGGAAGCCACACUUUCAAAAGGUCAUAGAAGCACAUGAACAGGAGCAAAGGAGGGCAAAGAAAAUAGGCAGCAAGGUUGCGGGGGGGGGAGGCUUAAGAGAGGCUGAAAGAACUGGAGAAGACUGAAGAGGGGACACCCAUGAUAACAGAUUUCACAUACCCAAAGGGCUCUCACGAAGGGAGAGAGCAAACACUUGUUCUCUGAUGGUCCAGAAGGCAAGACGAGGUCUCAUGAGCUGAAGCUACAGGAGGGUGGAUUUUGAUUGAAAUGUUCUGAAAAACACAUUAAGGGUAAGAGCCAUUUGAAAAUAGAAUCAAUUACUUUGGAGGUGAUGGGAUCUCCCAUCUUGGAGAACUCUAGACAGAGGCUGGACCACCAUCUUUGGGGAAUUGUUCUAGCUCUGGAUUUACUGCAUCAAGCAAGGAGCUAGACCAGGUGGCCUAGAAGAUUCAGAGAAACGCAUUCUAGGAUUCUUUGAUCUUGCUUCCUGGCAGGAAUCCUGUGCCUUUAAACUGUUGUGCAACAGGUACAUGAAAGUUAACUGUGAAAGCUUUUCCAUCUUGGCACAGCUGUUAAAGUCACAGGAACCACGCUGGAAAAGAUGCAAGGUGAAAAGCAAAAUGAGUGCAAAAAGUCACCUUUAUAGUGAUAAAAGUCCCAAGGUGAUACUGCACUCACUCACUCACAGAUUUCACUUGUUCCAGCACAACACCCACGUUCCUUGGAUAUUCUAACACACUGUGUGGCACACACCUUCCUCCUAACCUCUGCAAGUGUUUCUCAAUGCUUAUCAGUGUGGAGAUCCUCUAUUAAUGUGUCCCCCAGCAACGUUUUGCAUAAAUUGAUGUAGAUCCAGCAGAAUUAUACAUCUGAGGGCACCUAUUUCCACACACAGAUCACCG
ensembl:lncRNA